CGCCUCCUGCUAACCUAUAGGAGGUCCAGCCUGCCCAGUGAAUCUGUUCAACGGCCGCGGUAUCCUAACCGUGCGAAGGUAGCGUAAUCACUUGUUCUUUAAAUGAGGACUAGUAUGAAUGGCACCACGAAGGUUAUACUGUCUCCUUUUCCCAAUCAGUGAAACUAAUCUCCCCGUGAAGAAGCGGGGAUUAACUUAUAAGACGAGAAGACCCUAUGGAGCUUCAAACUUUUCAGCAAUUAUCUUCACUUAUAUAAGUUUCCCUAAACAAUGAAAUUAAUCUAGAUAAUAUGUCUGCAAGUUUUCGGUUGGGGUGACCGCGGAGCAAAACUUACCCUCCGCAAUGAAUUAGAAUUUUAUUUCUAAACAAAGAAUUACAAUUCUAUGUAUCAAAAAAUUGACACAAUUGACCCAAUACUUUGAUCAACGAACCAAGUUACCCUAGGGAUAACAGCGCAAUCCAUCUCAAGAGCUCUUAUCGACAGAUGGGUUUACGACCUCGAUGUUGGAUCAGGGUGUCCCAGUGGUGCAAGCCGCUACUAAAGGUUCGUUUGUUCAACGAUUGAAACCCUA
rnacentral:rRNA from 1 species